rnacentral:lncRNA from 10 species
UAGAAUCUGCAUGUGGCAAGGCAGUUCCUUACGAUGCUGAGUCAUUGGCAGCAGCGAUUCCAGGCUUUAGAUCUUAACUGCUACUAAUGAAAAUUCUCUUACGGCUUUCGGUGACCUCUGCCUAGGUCUUUGAACAUCUCUCAUCUCUUAGUGUUUAUUUCUAAAUAGCGUCUUUUUGAGAAGGAAGAUGGGAACAGAAUACCUAAUAACUCACUCUAGAGAGUGAGUCUUUGCCUUACAGUUUCAUGGUAUCGGCACUAAAUUUACUUUCUGGUGUUUGCGAGAAACAGAACAUUAAUUGAGCAGCUACCGUGUGUUAAGAGAACCUAUCCUCGGGAAUUCAUAAUUGAAAGAAGAACAUGAGCUGAUGGCAAUUUUCAUCUAACGAAUGGAUCUCUUACACAUCCCGUGAUCAUCAAAGAAGGAGAUUUUAUGUGGGAAUGUCUUCUGAGAACAAAGCAGAAAAAACACUGAUAAGAAUUACUGAACAUCAAACUAUGGCUCAUUGCACUGAUUCCAAUGAUAUUCAUUCAAAAGAGGUACCUCUAAGUGAAAAGAAAAACAGAUUACUUUGUCUCUUUCACCGGAAUCAAGCCACGAAUGAUGUACGUUCCCUUAAAAAACUUUCUUCUGAUUUUGGUGAAAUCUGUUUGUGUCUUCUCCAAAAUUUGUGAUGUGGCCACUCCAAAAUUUGUGUUUGUGUCCCCUCCAAAAUUUGUAUGUUGAAGCCCUAACCCCCACUGGGAUGGUAUUUUAGGAGACUGAGUCUUUAGGGGUAAUUAGGUUUUAGAUGAGGUCAUGAGGGCAGAAACCUGAUAAUAGAAUUACUGUCCUUAUAAGAAAAGAGAGACUGGAGGUCUCUCUUACCAUCAUGUAUGGAUACAGUUAGAAGCCAUCAGUCUGAAAAUAAAGAAGAGGGCACUUAGCAGGAAUCGACCAGCACCUUGAUCUUGGACUUCCUGGCCUCCAUAUCUCUGUGGAAUAAACGUUUGUUGUUAAACCACCAAAUCUCUGGUAUUUUAGUAUAACAGCCUGAAAUGACUAAAACAAC